UACGGGGGGGGCAAGCGUUGUUCGGAAUUACUGGGCGUAAAGGGUUCGUAGGUGGCUCGCUAAGUCAGACGUGAAAUCCCUCAGCUUAACUGGGGAACUGCGUCUGAGACUGGCGGGCUUGAGUGCAGGAGAGGAACGCGGAAUUCCAGGUGUAGCGGUGAAAUGCGUAGAUAUCAUAAGGAACACCGGUGGCGAAGGCGGAUACCUGGAAGAUUCCUGACUCUGAAACACGAAAGCCAGGGGAGCAAACGGG
rnacentral:rRNA from 1 species